CUGGGAGGACCAUCUCCUAAGGCUAAAUACUCUCUAGUGACCGAUAGUGAACCAGUACCGUGAGGGAAAGGUGAAAAGCACCCCGGAAGGGGAGUGAAAUAGAACCUGAAACCGUGUGCUUACAAGUAGUCAGAGCCCGUUAAUGGGUGAUGGCGUGCCUUUUGUAGAAUGAACCGGCGAGUUACGAUUUGAUGCAAGGUUAAGCAGUAAAUGUGGAGCCGUAGCGAAAGCGAGUCUGAAUAGGGCGUUUAGUAUUUGGUCGUAGACCCGAAACCAGGUGAUCUACCCUUGGUCAGGUUGAAGUUCAGGUAACACUGAAUGGAGGACCGAACCGACUUACGUUGAAAAGUGAGCGGAUGAACUGAGGGUAGCGGAGAAAUUCCAAUCGAACCUGGAGAUAGCUGGUUCUCUCCGAAAUAGCUUUAGGGCUAGCCUCAAGUGAUGAUUAUUGGAGGUAGAGCACUGUUUGGACGAGGGGCCCCUCUCGGGUUACCGAAUUCAGACAAACUCCGAAUGCCAAUUAAUUUAACUUGGGAGUCAGAACAUGGGUGAUAAGGUCCGUGUUCGAAAGGGAAACAGCCCAGACCACCAGCUAAGGUCCCAAAAUAUAUGUUAAGUGGAAAAGGAUGUGGCGUUGCCCAGACAACUAGGAUGUUGGCUUAGAAGCAGCCAUCAUUUAAAGAGUGCGUAAUAGCUCACUAGUCGAGUGACACUGCGCCGAAAAUGUACCGGGGCUAAACAUAUUACCGAAGCUGUGGAUUGUCCUUUGGACAAUGGUAGGAGAGCGUUCUAAGGGCGUUGAAGCAUGAUCGUAAGGACAUGUGGAGCGCUUAGAAGUGAGAAUGCCGGUGUGAGUAGCGAAAGACGGGUGAGAAUCCCGUCCACCGAUUGACUAAGGUUUCCAGAGGAAGGCUCGUCCGCUCUGGGUUAGUCGGGUCCUAAGCUGAGGCCGACAGGCGUAGGCGAUGGAUAACAGGUUGAUAUUCCUGUACCACCUAUAAUCGUUUUAAUCGAUGGGGGGACGCAGUAGGAUAGGCGAAGCGUGCGAUUGGAUUGCACGUCUAA
rnacentral:rRNA from 1 species